GCUCUUUUCUUGUUGGACUACUGGAAAUUAUGAUGAGCAGUGCAAUAUUAAAAGGGCAU
rnacentral:pre_miRNA from 1 species